rnacentral:SRP_RNA from 12 species
UCGCAGUGGCGCCGGGGCAGGCCCUGAGUCCACAGCCUCCAAGGCAGCAGCGGCUGGCCCCUCGGUCACUGCCGGCAGCGCUGGCAACGGCGAAGAUCGGCAACGAAGCAGGAAGAGCUCGCACUCGCUCU